rnacentral:piRNA from 1 species
UACCUGCAUGGUGUUAAGGUUCAAGGCCAUUG